CCGGCGCACGGGUGAGUAACACGUAUGCAACCUGGCCGUCACAGGUGGAUAACCGGAAGAAAUUCCGACUAAUACAGCAUAACACUCCUGAGGGACAUCCUUCGGGAGUCAAAGGAGGCAACUCCGGUGACGGAUGGGCAUGCGGCGCAUUAGGUAGUUGGUAGGGUAACGGCCUACCAAGCCGACGAUGCGUAGGGGUUCUGAGAGGAAGGUCCCCCACACUGGUACUGAGACACGGACCAGACUCCUACGGAAGGCAGCAG
rnacentral:rRNA from 1 species